CAGUAGCCACGGUAAAACGUAGGUGGCAAGCGUUGUCCGGAAUUAUUGGGCGUAAAGGGCUCGCAGGCGGUUUCUUAAGUCUGAUGUGAAAGCCCCCGGCUCAACCGGGGAGGGUCAUUGGAAACUGGGAAACUUGAAUGCAGAAGAGGAGAGUGGAAUUCCACGUGUAGCGGUGAAAUGCGUAGAGAUGUGGAGGAACACCAGUGGCGAAGGCGACUCUCUGGUCUGUAACUGACGCUGAGGAGCGAAAGCGUGGGGAGCGAACAGGAUUAGAUACCCCAGUAGUCCCUGUCUCUUAUAC
rnacentral:rRNA from 1 species